rnacentral:rRNA from 1 species
GACGCAGUAGGAUAGGCGAAGCGUGCUGUUGGAGUGCACGUCCAAGCAGUGAGAUUGAGUGUUAGGCAAAUCCGGCACUCUUAAGAUUGAGCUGUGAUGGGGAGAGGAACUUGUUCCUCGAGUCGUUGAUUUCACACUGCCGAGAAAAGCCUCUAGCUAGAAUAACGGUGCCCGUACCGCAAACCGACACAGGUAGUCAAGAUGAGAAUUCUAAGGUGAGCGAGCGAACUCUCGUUAAGGAACUCGGCAAAAUGACCCCGUAACUUCGGGAGAAGGGGUGCUCUUUGAGGUUCACGCUUCGAAGAGCCGCAGUGAAUAGGCCCAAGCGACUGUUUAUCAAAAACACAGGUCUCUGCUAAACCGUAAGGUGACGUAUAGGGGCUGACGCCUGCCCGGUGCUGGAAGGUUAAGAGGAGUGGUUAGCGCAAGCGAAGCUACGAAUCGAAGCCCCAGUAAACGGCGGC